rnacentral:rRNA from 1 species
GACGAACGCUGGCGGCGUGCUUAACACAUGCAAGUCGAGCGGUAAGGCCCUUUCGGGGGUACGACGAGCGGCGAACGGGUGAGUAACACGUGGGUGACCUGCCCUUACGCUCUGGGAUAAGCCUGGGAAACGUAGGGUCUAAUACCGGAUAUGACUCCAUGACGCAUGUUGUGGGGUGGAAAGCCUUGUGCGGCUAGGGAUGGGCCUGCGGCCUAUCAGCUUGUUGGUGGGGUGAUGGCCUACCAAGGCGACGACGGGUAGCCGGCCUGAGAGGGCGACCGGCCACACUGGGACUGAGACACGGCCCAGACUCCUACGGGAGGCAGCAGUGGGGAAUCUUGCGCAAU